rnacentral:rRNA from 1 species
UACAGGGGGUGCAAACGUUGCUCGGAAUCAUUGGGCGUAAAGCGCACGUAGGCGGUUCGUUAUGUCGGAUGUGAAAGCCCUUGGCUUAACCGAGGAAGUGCAUCCGAAACUGGCGAGCUAGAGUACGAAAGAGGAUCGCGGAAUUCCCGGUGUAGAGGUGAAAUGCGCAGAUAUCGGGAAGAACACCCGUGGCGAAGGCGGCUCUCUGGGACGGUACUGACGCUGAGACGCGAGAGCGUGGGGAGCAAACCGG